GAGUUUGAUCCUGGCUCAGGAUGAACGCUGGCGGCGUGCUUAACACAUGCAAGUCGAGCGAAGCACUUCGUUUUGAAUCUUCGGAGGAAGAACGGAAUGACUGAGCGGCGGACAGGUGAGUAACGCGUGGGCAACCUGCCUCAUACAGGGGGAUAACAGUUAGAAAUGACUGCUAAUACCGCAUAAGACCGCGGUACCGCAUGGUACAGCGGUAAAAACUCCGGUGGUAUGAGAUGGGCCCGCGUCUGAUUAGCUAGUUGGCGGGGUAACGGCCCACCAAGGCGACGAUCAGUAGCCGACCUGAGAGGGUGACCGGCCACAUUGGGACUGAGACACGGCCCAAACUCCUACGGGAGGCAGCAGUGGGGAAUAUUGCACAAUGGGGGAAACCCUGAUGCAGCGACGCCGCGUGAGCGAUGAAGUAUUUCGGUAUGUAAAGCUCUAUCAGCAGGGAAGAAGAUGACGGUACCUGACUAAGAAGCCCCGGCUAACUACGUGCCAGCAGCCGCGGUAAUACGUAGGGGGCAAGCGUUAUCCGGAUUUACUGGGUGUAAAGGGAGCGUAGACGGCGGUGCAAGCCAGAUGUGAAAGCCCGGGGCUCAACCCCGGGACUGCAUUUGGAACUGUAUGGCUGGAGUGUCGGAGAGGCAGGCGGAAUUCCUAGUGUAGCGGUGAAAUGCGUAGA
rnacentral:rRNA from 1 species